AUGCACCAAAAAAACAAAAUGGAAAAUUUAUCACCAUUGGAUCGAUCAACAUUUUAAACAAGUACGGCAUUAGAACUGUAAUCUCAAAAUCUUUGAAGAACACACACAUUAUUUAUGUUUUACGCAUUUUGUUGGGCAGCGCUUUUUUGUAACUUAUGCAAUUGUGCCUUGGGAGGGAUUUAUUUUGUUUGCGAAGCGUUUUUUUCUGGUAUUUUUCUCGUGUUUCCAGAGAGACUUCGUUCUCAGUUAGUCUGUAUGCACACUUAGAUUUUUUCUCGUUGUUCGGUAAAUUUUCUUACCGGAAACGUACUGUAAAUAAAUAUUUAACUGAGGUUUCGGUAUGACCAACGAGAUUUACCGAACAACCUUGAAAAAAUAAAAAAAAUCAAAACAAUACUACUUCGCUUUUACCGAUACCGUCGUUUUUUUUACCGAAAAAACUGUAAAUCGUUUUGAUUCGCCGAAGGCUGUAAUUUUUUACCGUACUUCAGUUCACAGUGCUCAAUGCUUUACCGAACGAAUAGUAAUCUGAAAUUUCUGAGGCCGCCAUAUUUGUUUCUAAGUUUCUAAGUGCUAAUCAUCAAGAUAUUGCAUCUGUUUUUCCAAAAACUACAGCAGCGGGAUGAGUGACUAGUAGGUAUUUUCUUAUACAACUGAAAAUGUACGUUCCGGACUGCAGCAUCGCAUUAACGAGCAUGACCAGUGACCACCCAUGACGGAAACGGUGGCGGUUUUCUUCAUAAGGGGUGAACAGCCGAAAUUAGCGUUCAAUGUCCCACCUGAGCCUGCUGAUGAUGUUUAAUUUCCUGCCUCCAUUUACACAAAGCAGCAGAAUUAGUAAAAUAAAUCGAUUUGUUGCAUUUGAUUUCAAUAUGGA